rnacentral:rRNA from 1 species
AUACGUAGGUGACAAGCGUUAUCCGGAUUUACUGGGCGUAAAGGGCGUGUAGGCGGUCUUGCAAGUCAGAAGUGAAAUUCCUGAGCUCAACUCGGGCGCUGCUUCUGAAACUGCAGGACUUGAGUGCUGGAGGGGAUAGCGGAAUUCCUAGUGGAGCGGUAAAAUGCGCAGAUAUUAGGAAGAACACCGGUGGCGAAGGCGGCUAUCUGGACAGUAACUGACGCUGAGGCGCGAAAGCGUGGGGAGCAAACAGGAUUAGAUACCCGGGAAGUCCACGCCGUAAACGAUGAAUACUAGGUGUAGGGGGUAUCGACUCCCUCUGUGCCGCAGUUAACACAAUAAGUAUUCCGCCUGGGGAGUACGGCCGCAAGGUUGAAACUCAAAGGAAUUGACGGGG